ensembl:misc_RNA 7SK 7SK RNA
AGAUGUGAGUGCGAACUGAGACAUCUGUUAUCCCUUUGAUCCCCAGAGUUGAUUCUGUUGAUCUGACUGGAUAGGAGGGUGUCUCAUUCCCAUAUCACUGUUCCAAAGCUAUAAGCAGGGUCCAAGAGGACGACCUUCCCUAACAGAGAUGGACUCUUCUUCAGAGUGGGUAUACCAAUAGCUGUGCUCUGCUACUCGAAUUUCCAAACAAGCUCUCAGUUUCACUGGAAAUUAUAGGUACCAAUACCUAUACAUUAUGAUUACCCCCCUCAAAAUUCACAUUUUU